rnacentral:rRNA from 1 species
UACAGAGGGUGCGAGCGUUAAUCGGAAUUACUGGGCGUAAAGCGCGCGUAGGCGGCUUUGCAAGUCGGGGGUGAAAUCCCCAGGCUCAACCUGGGAACUGCAUUCGAGACUGCAUUGCUAGAGUAUGGGAGAGGGAAGUGGAAUUUCAGGUGUAGCGGUGAAAUGCGUAGAUAUCUGAAGGAACAUCAGUGGCGAAAGCGACUUCCUGGACCAAUACUGACGCUCAUGUGCGAAAGCGUGGGGAGCAAACAGG